rnacentral:misc_RNA from 1 species
UUUCCGUUGGUGAACCAGCGGAGGGAUCAUUACUGACUAUUGCUACUCCCAGACCUCUGUGUACUUAUACCUUUACUGUUCCUUCGGCGGGUUAACGCCCCGGAAGGCCCAACUCGCCGCCUGAGCCGGGCGCCCGCCGGUGGACCCAAACUCUGGUAGUUCUUACUUUGUACUUCUUAGUGGAAUCAUAAACAAAUGAAUCAAAACUUUCAACAACGGAUCUCUUGGUUCUG